CUAGUGUUAAUCUCGCACUUGGAGCACCCAUACGAGUACGUCCUCUGGGGUUGUUACUCAUCGCAUCUGCUUCGGGAAGGUCUGAGAUUAAGCUGUCCUGCCAUUUUUGGUGGGAAAUGCCUCAGCAAGGCGCUUUCUUGAAAGAGGGGUUUCGUUACCAGAAAAAGUACGGUGCGUACAUUUAGUCGUUUUCAGGUGGUCUUACUGCAUUACACACCCAAAUUGUAGAAUCGGUCUCAUUUGAACGGGUUGCCGAGAAUGCUGCAGCUGAUCUCAUGGCAAUUGUGAAACUUCAUGAUUGUCAUGAUUCGAAAGUGUUGUAACGCGAAUGAUAUUAAAUCAUUCCUUUGUUACAACUUUCCGAAAUCUCAGCUAAUGGGCUCUCCACAAUCUGUUCGACGAAACCGACUUAACAAUUCAGGUGUGAUUCCAUGACAAGUGGUUCGAAAUGGAUUCCAUUGAUAAUCACCUUUGUCACGGAUAACUUAUCGCACCAAGUGCAGAACGACCAAUUCGCCUUUCGCUUGGGCCUGUCCCAAGUUUGUCCUCGGACUAACUUGUUCAUGCUUACAAUCGGGCGGCGUAGGCCUGAAACGGAUAAUUGAGAAAGCGAACUGCUAGCAUUUUCAGUAAAAUCUGCGAGCUACGAGCCGUUCGCGACUCGUAGAACUCAAUUCAGACUAGUCUAACACUAG
rnacentral:RNase_P_RNA from 2 species